rnacentral:tRNA from 1 species
GUCCUGAUAGUAUAAACAUUACACUGGUCUUGUAAACCAGAAAUGAAAGCCACUUUCUCAGGAUA